AGAGUUUGAUCCUGGCUCAGGAUGAACGCUGGCGGCGCGCCUAACACAUGCAAGUCGAACGGCACCCAUCUUCGGAUGGAAGCGAGUGGCGAACGGCUGAGUAACACGUGGAGAACCUGCCCCCUCCCCCGGGAUAGCCGCCCGAAAGGACGGGUAAUACCGGAUACCCCGGGGUGCCGCAUGGCACCCCGGCUAAAGCCCCGACGGGAGGGGAUGGCUCCGCGGCCCAUCAGGUAGACGGCGGGGUGACGGCCCACCGUGCCGACAACGGGUAGCCGGGUUGAGAGACCGACCGGCCAGAUUGGGACUGAGACACGGCCCAGACUCCUACGGGAGGCAGCAGUGGGGAAUCUUGCGCAAUGGGGGGAACCCUGACGCAGCGACGCCGCGUGCGGGACGGAGGCCUUCGGGUCGUAAACCGCUUUCAGCAGGGAAGAGUCAAGACUGUACCUGCAGAAGAAGCCCCGGCUAACUACGUGCCAGCAGCCGCGGUAAUACGUAGGGGGCGAGCGUUAUCCGGAUUCAUUGGGCGUAAAGCGCGCGUAGGCGGCCCGGCAGGCCGGGGGUCGAAGCGGGGGGCUCAACCCCCCGAAGCCCCCGGAACCUCCGCGGCUUGGGUCCGGUAGGGGAGGGUGGAACACCCGGUGUAGCGGUGGAAUGCGCAGAUAUCGGGUGGAACACCGGUGGCGAAGGCGGCCCUCUGGGCCGAGACCGACGCUGAGGCGCGAAAGCUGGGGGAGCGAACAGGAUUAGAUACCCUGGUAGUCCCAGCCGUAAACGAUGGACGCUAGGUGUGGGGGGACGAUCCCCCCGUGCCGCAGCCAACGCAUUAAGCGUCCCGCCUGGGGAGUACGGCCGCAAGGCUAAAAC
rnacentral:rRNA from 1 species